GGGUAAGUUAGAAUGUUUUUCACCAUCAUAAUGUAAUAAAAUAGGUUAUAUGACAAAUACUUAUGUUGCAUAUUUUGACAGUUAUCAGGUAUAGUUAAUUAAAUGUUUUAACGAAUUUCCUGGGUGUUUUAAUCGAUGUUGUUUCAAAUUACGUAUUAAUAUAACACUGAUAAGACACAAACUACAGUUCGGUAUGUAAUUUAACUUGUUUACACGAGUAAAAGUUACUCGCGCUAAUGUGCUAACGUGCUAACUGCCCGGUGCUACGUGAGUCAGAGGCCGGGGUGGAGUGCAUGAGCCGCGGUCAGACAGUCACCAAUCACCGGGCGGCUAAAUGGAUCGACGGAGGAUAAAACCAUUAAAAGAUGCGGAGAAACACAUCACCAGCUCCACUGACAAGACCCAUUCACUGGAAACCGAAUAUAUAGAAGGUUACUAAGUUUUGCAGCAUUGAUGCCGAUCAUGAGGACGAUCUGCACCCUAACUGCACUGUCAAUAAGAUCGUUGUUCAGAGAAAACCUCAUUUGUGCCUUUUUGCAAUCAGGGAUAUUUUCUUUGGAGAGGAAAUAACGUUUGACUAUGGCGCAUGUGAUUGGCCUUGGAGAAAGCUUUCAUUGAAGGAUGCCCAUAUGACUGCAGAAGAAAACUGCUCCGACAACUCUCUGAUGAGCUUUCAUUGAAGUAUGAUCAUAUGACGAGAAGAAGAGAACUGCUCUGCUCCAGUAGGAGACCCACAACCCUCUGAUGAGCUUAUAUUGAAGGAUGACCAUAUGACAGAGGAAGAGAAC